rnacentral:lncRNA from 1 species
GAAUGUUCAGCUGGCCACUACUGCCCUACCGGCACUGCUUCUGCCACUCAGUUUCCAUGUCCUGAGGGGACCUACAACCUACAAAAUGGGAGCAGCCUGGUGUCUCACUGUAUCCCCUGUGAGCGAGGGCACUACUGUGCACUCGCAGGGCAGGCACGUGUUACAGGGCCCUGUCUGGCUGGAUUCUACUGCAGUGGAGGCUCUUCUAGUCCAAUGCCCACAGAUGGUCUCCUGGGGGAUGUGUGCCCAAAGGGAACAUACUGCCCUAUGGGCACUGCCUUCCCGCAGCCAUGCCCUCCUGGUUAUUAUAGCAACUCAACAGGGAAUACUGGCAUUGAGGACUGCCUUCUGUGUGAUGCAGGGUAUUUCUGCAGUGGGACUGGGCUUUUAUCUCCAACUGGAUUGUGUGAAGGUGGAUUCUACUGCAGUGGAGGAGCCAUUUCUCCUCAACCUCCCAGGAUAACAGUGAGUGGAGGACCGUGCCCACCUGGACAUUACUGUGUAGCGGGGAGCAGCAGAGCCCAGCCUUGUCCUGCAGGGAGUUACAGCCCAUCCUGGAGUAUGGUGCAGUGUUUGGAGUGCCCAGAAGGUUUUUA